UAUGCCUCUAGAGGCCUUGCAUACAUGACUUGCAGUGGUCAUGUUUGUGUUAUUAGGUGGCAUAGAGCAACAGGCUUACAUAUACAUUGUGUUCAGAAAGCUGCUGAUGUACAGUGUGAUUAAUGGCCUGGUAGU